GAUGAACGCUGGCGGCGUGCCUAAUACAUGCAAGUCGAGCGAAGCGGGGAAGGGUGAGUAACACGUGGAUAACCUCCUAUAAGACUGGGAUAACUUCGGGAAACCGGAGCUAAACCGGAUGCUCAUAGAUGGAUCCGCGCUGCAUUAGCUAGUUGGUAAGGUAACGGUUUACCAAGGAAACGAUGCAUAGCCGACCUGAGAGUGGGAUCGGCUACACGGUAACUGAGACACGUUCCAGAGUCCUAAGGGAGGCAUCAGUAGGGAAUCUUCCGCAAUGGGCGAAAGCCUGACGGAGAAACGCCGCGUGAGUGAUGAAGGUCUUCGGAUCGUAAAACUCUGUUAUUAGGGAAGCGGUACCUAAUCAGAAAGCCACGGCUAACUACGUGCCAGCAGCCGCGGUAAUAC
rnacentral:rRNA from 1 species